AAAAAAAUUGACUUAAAGCAGGCGCACUUGCUUACCACAAGAAAGCCUCGGCAAAGUUACCAGUGGAUGUUAAAUCGGACUAAAGUAUAUUCCAACCAUGCCACCAGUGGAUCACAGUGGAUCUUCACACACGUCUCUGCUCCAUUUCCUGUUACGUGCUUUUGCGACAAAUGGGCAGCAGGUGGUCACAGAGCAAGUGUUGGAAGAGCAAGAACAGGGACCUUCACCCGAAAAUAUGGAACUGGGCACCGUGGAGAGAGCUGUGGAGGAGUUUGUGGAUUUGGAUAAGAGUGAGGAUGAUACACCGGACAUAGCUUUAAGCAGCACUGCAGGUGCUGAUUGCAAUGGUCUGGGCGAAGAGGUCGUUGCGGCGACC